GCCAGCGUAAUGCAGUGGUUUGAGUGUUGGACUACAACUCUGGAGACCAGGGUUCAAAUCCCUGCUCAGCCA